rnacentral:rRNA from 1 species
GACGAACCGUCCAAACGUUAUUCGGAAUCACUGGGCUUAAAGGGUGCGUAGGCGGCGCGGAAAGUUGGGUGUGAAAUCCCUCGGCUUAACCGAGGAACUGCGCCCAAAACUACCGUGCUUGAGGGAGAUAGAGGUGAGCGGAACUUAGGGUGGAGCGGUGAAAUGCGUUGAUAUCCUAAGGAACACCGGUGGCGAAAGCGGCUCACUGGAUCUCUUCUGACGCUGAGGCACGAAAGCUAGGGUAGCGAACGGGAUUAGAUACCCCGGUAGUCCUAGCCGUAAACGAUGAGCACUGGAUUGGAGGGUCCUCCAUAGCCUUCCGGUCGCAACGAAAGCGUUAAGUGCUCCGCCUGGGGAGUAUGGU